UACAGAGGGUGCAAGCGUUAAUCGGAAUUACUGGGCGUAAAGCGUGCGUAGACGGUCAUGUAAGUCGGGUGUGAAAGCCCCGGGCUCAACCUGGGAAUUGCAUCCGAGACUGCAUUGCUAGAGUAUGGGAGAGGGAAGCGGAAUUUCUGGUGUAGCAGUGAAAUGCGUAGAUAUCAGAAGGAACAUCAGUGGCGAAGGCGGCUUCCUGGACCAAUACUGACGAUCAGGUGCGAAAGCGUGGGGAGCAAACAGG
rnacentral:rRNA from 1 species